AGUGAACGCUGGCGGUAGGCCUAACACAUGCAAGUCGAACGGCAGCACAGUAAGAGCUUGCUCUUACGGUUGGCGAGUGGCGGACGGGUGAGGAAUACAUCGGAAUCUACUUUUUCGUGAGGGAUAACGUAGGGAAACUUACGCUAAUACCGCAUACGACCUACGGGUGAAAGCAGGGGAUCUUCGGACCUUGCGCGAUUGAAUGAGCCGAUGUCGGAUUAGCUAGUUGGCGGGGUAAAGGCCCACCAAGGCGACGAUCCGUAGCUGGUCUGAGAGGAUGAUCAGCCACACUGGAACUGAGACACGGUCCAGACUCCUACGGGAGGCAGCAGUGGGGAAUAUUGGACAAUGGGCGCAAGCCUGAUCCAGCCAUACCGCGUGGGUGAAGAAGGCCUUCGGGUUGUAAAGCCCUUUUGUUGGGAAAGAAAAGCAGCAGGUUAAUACCCCGCUGUUCUGACGGUACCCAAAGAAUAAGCACCGGCUAACUUCGUG
rnacentral:rRNA from 1 species